UCAAAAACAUGUCCUUUUGUUAAUAAUUUAAGGUCUGACCUGCCCAAUGAGUAUUUAAAUGGCCGCAGUAUAUUGACUGUGCAAAGGUAGCAUAAUCAUUAGUUUUUUAAUUGCCAGCUGGAAUGAAUGGUUUGAUGAGAAAAUAACUGUCUCAAUUUAAUUGUUUUAGAACUUUAAUUUUAAGUGAAAAAGCUUAAAUUUUUAAUGAAGACGAGAAGACCCUAUAGAGUUUAAUAUUUCUAUAUUAUAAUUGGUUUUGGGUUUUAUUAAAAUUUUAAUAUAUAAUUAUUUUAUUGGGGUGAUAUUAAAAUUUAAUUAACUUUUAAUUUAUUGUAACAUUUUUUUGUGAUUAUUUGAUCCUAAUUUUUAGAUUAUAAGAUAAAAUUACCUUAGGGAUAACAGCGUAAUUUUUUUUAAGAGUUCUUAUCGAAAAAAAAGUUUGCGACCUCGAUGU
rnacentral:rRNA from 1 species